UACGUAGGGGGCAAGCGUUGUCCGGAAUCAUUGGGCGUAAAGAGCGUGUAGGCGGCUCGGUAAGUCCGCUCUGAAAGCCCGGGGCUCAACCCCGGGAGGCGGGCGGAUACUGUCGGGCUAGAGUCCGGAAGAGGCGAGUGGAAUUCCUGGUGUAGCGGUGAAAUGCGCAGAGUAUCAGGAGGAACACCAAUGGCGAAGGCAGCUCGCUGGGACGGUACUGACGCUGGAGACGCGAAAGCGUGGGGAGCAAACAGG
rnacentral:rRNA from 1 species